rnacentral:SRP_RNA from 1 species
UCGUGCAAGUCGGGGCGUUAGCGGUGCCUUAUUUCCCACAAUCCGCUAUAGUGGGGACUGAAGCCACAUAUGAGGGUCUUAGGCUGGGAGAGCCGCCUUUUGCAAGUGAUGCUGAAGGUUCGGGUCCUAUGCGACGAAAAUCUACGAACCGUGUCAGGUGGGGAACCAAGCAGCACUAAGUAGAACCUUUCGGGUGCCAUAGGGUUACCUGAACCGAGUUAACUACAGAAGUAACGUCUUUUGGCUGGAUUCGAACUGUGGCUAGCACGU